rnacentral:rRNA from 1 species
UAUCUGGUUGAUCCUGCCAGUAUUAUAUGCUGAUGUUAAAGAUUAAGCCAUGCAUGUGUAAGUAUAAAGACCAAGUAGGAUGAAACUGCGGACGGCUCAUUAUAACAGUAAUAGUUUCUUUGGUUAGUAAAAUACAAGGAUAGCUUUGUGAAUGAUAAAGAUAAUACUUGAGACGAUCCAGUUUGUAUUAGUACAAAAUGGCCAAUUCAUUCAAUGAAUUGAGAAAUGACAUUCUAAGUGAGUUAGGAUGCCACGACAAUUGUAGAACACACAGUGUUUAACAAGUAACCAAUGAGAAUUUCUGAUCUAUCAAUCAGUUGGUAGUAUCGAGGACUACCAAGAUUAUAACGGAUAACGAGGAAUUGGGGUUCGACAUCGGAGAGGGAGCUUUACAGAUGGCUACCACUUCUAAGGAAGGCAGCAGGCGCGUAAAUUACCCACUUUCGAAUUGAAGAGGUAGUGACGACACAUAACUCUAGAGUUGAGUAAAAUC